rnacentral:rRNA from 1 species
GACGAACGCUGGCGGCGUGCUUAACACAUGCAAGUCGAACGGAAAGGCCCUGCUUUUGUGGGGUGCUCGAGUGGCGAACGGGUGAGUAACACGUGAGUAACCUGCCCUUGACUUUGGGAUAACUUCAGGAAACUGGGGCUAAUACCGGAUAGGAGCUCCUGCUGCAUGGUGGGGGUUGGAAAGUUUCGGCGGUUGGGGAUGGACUCGCGGCUUAUCAGCUUGUUGGUGGGGUAGUGGCUUACCAAGGCUUUGACGGGUAGCCGGCCUGAGAGGGUGACCGGCCACAUUGGGCCUGAGGUACGGCCCAGACUCCUACGGGAGGCAGCAGUGUGGAAUAUUGCACAAUGGGCGGAAGCCUGAUGCAGCAACGCCGCGUGCGGGAUGACGGCCUUCGGGUUGUAAACCGCUUUCGCCUGUGACGAAGCGUGAGUGACGGUAAUGGGUAAAGAAGCACCGGCUAACUACGUG